AGUAUUUUCCUGAAGCUGAAGGAAGGGGGUGUUUUGCAGCCACCUGUUGGCACUUUGGAGCCGCCCUCUGGUCCCCUGGAAUCGUCCUGCUUCCCUUUGACAAAGAAACUGCUCACAGCUGCAUCCAUCCAUCGCACAGUGUGCUGCAUCAGCUGUGCCUUUACAGCCUGAAGCUGCUGAACUUCUCAUUUCCCAGUUCCCAGGAAGGUUUUGCUCUGACAUUCAUAGGCAGUGAUUAUGCUUUUUAUUGGAGCGUGCUUGCUAUUCUUCAUACGUGUUGACAACUGCAGUAAUCAGCUCUUUGUGAGCGAGCGGGUAAAAAUUAUGGAAAAAACCCAGAUAAAUCAGCAGCAGUAUCUGUUCUAUUGCUUCCCUCCGUGCAUAUCUGUAAAGAAAACAGUCUGUUUGGAGUGGGACAUACUGCCUGUUCAGAAACCCAGCAGGGUUUGGGUGCUGCUCUUUCCAGGAAGCUCUGUAACUGAAACUGGCAAAAGGCACUGGGUUGUGGGGCUGUUUGUUUGUUUUUUUUUUCCCUGAUCUCAGAUAAUGAGUUUGCAUUGUGAAAGGUGAGAGGAAACGUAUUCCAUUGUCCUGCCUUUCUGCUGGAGGUGGCUGGUGGUGGAGGUGCUGAUCACCACAGCUCCAGCAGAGAGGCAUUAAGCAACGCUACUGGACUUCGAGCAAAAAUGCACUUGUCACUAUUACUGCCACAGAAUUAAAGACAUGCUCUAAUGUAACCAAACCAGUGAAAAGAAAGAGCUAGAAGUCUUAAGAGGUAAGAAUGAGUUUCGUUUGGAGUAGGACUAAGGGAAUCUGUUUCGCUUUCAAAUGGGAGUUCUUUGUCCUGCUCCAAAUCACGUGGCUGAGCCUCCAGCUGGGACGUGGCCGUUUAGCAUGGGAAUGGCAGCCUCCAGGGAAAAAGGAGUGGCUGUCAAGGAGUUUGGAAAGUGAUGAUGGUCUUUGAAAUGGAAUUUUUAGCACAUCCUGUCUACGAGAUAUUUAUGAAUUAAAGGCCAGUGAACAGCUAGAAUCUAGCUGAAGCAGUCAAGGAAUUCUUGUAGGCUUUUGGUGUUGAAAAAUGCAUGCAAGAUUUAGGGGAAGGUCUUAUGUAGUGUGGAGAAAAAGGCUGUGUAAGAGCGCGCAUCUUACUGAACUCUUAGCAUCUGCUGAUAAUGUCAGAGGAAUUCUUCUGUUAAGCCAAGUGUUGAAGUAGUUGGCCUUACUAAUCAGUUUCAGUGUACAGGUUCAGGUCUCCUGUCCUGAUUUCCUGGUGCAGACCUGCUCCUGUUGGUGCACUUCGGGAGCUCGUUGCGUUUUUUGGAUUGUGAUUGCUUAACAGAGCAGUAAUGGAGUUUGUGCCACAGGGCAAUGCUGGAAUUGCUUUAGCUACACAAAGCUCCUCAGUCUGGUCAGAGCUGUGGCCUGUAUACCAGAUGUUGGAGAGACAAAUGAUGUUUUUUUUUUUUCACUCGCAUAUUUUCAGCUGUAUGUAAGACCUCUGUUAUAAAUAUGACACAGCAGAUUUGGCAACACCUUCCUCUAAGCAGGGUGGGUAAGAAAACAAUCUAUUCCUGAAGCACUUGUUUCAAUUAUCCCAAUUCAACUGAUUGUUUUAAGGUGAUACGUGUUAGUUGCUGGUAUCCUGUAUUCAUCCCAAUGAGGGCUCCCCGUUUGCUUGAUGCACUUGGAGGUUCGUUAACCACCGUGAGCUAAUCAUGGUGACCCUGCUGAAGGGCCAGAACUGGGCAACUCUCUCUUAGCCUCACCUCCACUUAUUCUCAUGGUGCUGUGGUGCAUAAGUUUGAGCUCUUGGGUUAAAAUGGGGAAUUCCUCCUGUUGAAGAAGUAGCACUUCCGUGGCAACAGCAUCAGGAGUGAAGUAGCUGCUUCGAGACAGUUUUAUUUCUCCGUUGAGACUCCUGGCUGCAUUUCCCAGCAGACUUCGUUGUUCCCAUUACUUUCGUUCUGUUCUAAUGAGGCUCCACUCUCUCUCUUUCAUGCCUCUCUCUUUUGGAGGAAUGCAAAUGGCAGUAGUGGACCAGAGCAUGUCCUUUACCCUGUCCUUCUACCCGUUUCCCACAGAGUUUCCUUACUUCCAUGUGAGCUGUUAAAUCUAUUUUUGUUAGCAGAGCUCUUUCACGUCCAAGCUACUGGACUCUCCCAAGCUGUCUCCUUUGAGAGAAGCCAGCACUGGAGAUGGUAGCUACAAUGCUGUUGUUAAUUCCAGCAGAAGUGAAAGUCAACACUUGCUCUGUCUUUAAAAAUGUAAUUGCUUCUCAUCCUGGAAAUCCAUAUGGAUGCUGUGUGAAUGAGAGCUAGUUGAACUUCUGGGUGAGUGUAGAGCAGGCAGGCUAGCCCUGAGCUCCUCCGCUCUAGCUGUCUUCAGCCUUUUAUUAUGUGGAUACAAACGAGAGAUGUGGUCUUGCAAGCUCCUGUUCAUAGCAUCCAUGAUGUCGUUUCUGCAAAUAGAUUCCAUCUGUUUCGGUUUACUGGAGUUGAGUUUCAUUCGACUUUGCUGGCUGUUAAAUCUGGAUUCAUUUUCUUGUGUGAGGCGGGGCAAGUGUCUCAGAGGCUUUAGACCCCGUGCUGUCCUUGAAAGAAAGAAAAAAAGAAAAAGGAGUAGGCAGGAGGUUGCUCACCAGAUUCCAGAUCAUGAUGAACUCACUGUGUAUCUGCGUCGCCGUUCGAUCCCCCGGCCCAGCCUUGCUCCUGUUGCUUGGAGUCGAGCAGCAGGCGGCUUUUGCACAGGGUGUCCUAGGACGAACUUGCACAAUAUUGCCAGCAGAUGUAAUUAUCACAGGAAUUCUGCUGAAGAGCAGCUGCUAGACAUUCAUCAGACUGUUAAUGUCGUUGGGAGGCCUUACAUUUGUUUAAUCAGCAGCCUUUUUUUUUUGUUUUUGUUUUUUCCCCCCGUCUCACUU